rnacentral:rRNA from 1 species
CCUACGGGAGGCAGCAGUGGGGGAUAUUGCACAAUGGGGGGAACUCUGAUGCAGCGACGCCGCGUGGGUGAAGAAGCGCCUCGGCGCGUAAAGCCCUGUCAGCAGGGAAGAAAAUGACGGUACCUGAAGAAGAAGCCCCGGCUAACUACGUGCCAGCAGCGGCGGUUAUACGUAGGGGGCAGGCGUUAUCCGGAUUUACUGGGUGUAAUGGGGGCGCAGGCGGCGCUGCAAGCCAGGAGUGCAAGCCCGGGGCGCAACCGCGGGACUGCCCUGGGAACUGGGUGGCUGGAGUGCAGGGGAGGCAGGCGGAAUUCGUGGUGUUGCGGUGAAAUGCGUAGAUAUCAGGAGGAACACCGGUGGCGAAGGCGGCCUGCUGUACUGCAACUGACGUUGAGGCCCGAAAGCGUGGGGAGCAAACAGGAUUAGAUACCCUAGUAGUC